rnacentral:pre_miRNA from 1 species
AUAAAAUCUGUCCGUCCGUCGUGUGAUUUGAAGCAAGGUGAUUUGUAUGUGAAAUCCCCUUGUUGCAAACCUCACGCUGGUUGGAUGGA